rnacentral:rRNA from 1 species
GACGAACGCUGGCGGCGUGCCUAAUACAUGCAAGUAGAACGCUGAAGACUUUAGCUUGCUAAAGUUGGAAGAGUUGCGAACGGGUGAGUAACGCGUAGGUAACCUGCCUACUAGCGGGGGAUAACUAUUGGAAACGAUAGCUAAUACCGCAUAACAGCAUUUAACCCAUGUUAGAUGCUUGAAAGGAGCAAUUGCUUCACUAGUAGAUGGACCUGCGUUGUAUUAGCUAGUUGGUGAGGUAACGGCUCACCAAGGCGACGAUACAUAGCCGACCUGGGGGGGUGAUCGGCCACACGGGGACGGGAACACCGCCUAGACUCCUAAGGGAGGAAGCAGUAGGGAAUCUUCGGCAAUGGGGGCAACCCUGACCGAGCAACGCCGCGUGAGUGAAGAAGGUUUUCGGAUCGUAAAGCUCUGUUGUAAGAGAAGAACGUGUGUGAGAGUGGAAAGUUCACACAGUGACGGUAACUUACCAGAAAGGGACGGCUAACUACGUGCCAGCCGCCGCCGUAA